rnacentral:lncRNA from 1 species
ACCACUGUCGGGUAUUCAUGUGUAUUCACUUUACAAUAAUGGUUGACUAAACAUAGUAUUUAUUGUUCCUUAGGCUGGCGGUGCAAUGCUGUUCACACACAGAUGUACAUGCUGGAGGGAGUAUCGAGGUGGAACAUGGGCCGGGCCAAGGAGGCAGUAGAUGUGGAGGGGGCCUCAACCCUCAGAAGCUUUGAUGUCCGCUUGAUGUCCCACCUCAGCAACUUAAGCCAGCGCGUUCUUGGUUCCACUCUGGUGCCAGAGUUCACUCCACCCGGGAAACCUACUAGCGAGCGCAUAGCAGUGGAGUAUUUAUUGGCCCAGACCAACAGAGGUGACCUGCUGGCUCCAAAUCAGGUCCCUGAGGUCCCCUCGCAGGUACUUGAGGAGGAGGAUGAGCCGGAUGACACCAUCAGCAUGACUGACAUUCUGUGCCAGUCAGCUGCGAUAGGGGCUGGUGAUCCUCCAGGUGCUGUGGUGGGUGACGCUGAACCCGGACCCCUCGUCACACAGGUGCAGGUGCUUGAGGCGGAGGAGGAGCCAGAUGACACCAUCAGCAUGACUGAUCACACAGGUGAUCCUCCAGGUGCUGUGGAGGAUGACGAUGAACCCGGACCCCUCGUCACAGAGGUCAAUAACACUUUCUGUAACGCCUUACUCAAAAACACAAUAUUUAACUACGUAAAUGUGGUUACAUUUUAAUAAGAUAAAUGAAUGUAAAAUCAG